UGGAAAUGAAUUUUUUGUUAGCUAAGUUGUGGAUUGAGUUAUUUAAUCCAAAUUGAAGAAGUUGUCAAAAUGCUAAUUCCUUGUUAUUUCUUAUCUGUGUGACCUUACAGUACUCUAGUUUAGUGUCCAUUAUAGUUUAACUUCUUAGGUAUAUUCAUUUGUUAUCAUCAGUUGUUUUAAGGUUGGAGCUAAGAUUUCCUUUGACUAUGAUUUAUUCAAAAUUUCAAUCUAGCCUAACAUGUAUAAUGGGACGCUACUAGUUUGGUUUGCUCGUGUUAUAGACUCAGUAGUUUGGUUUAAUGUUACCUCGCC
rnacentral:lncRNA from 1 species